UACAAAAGGAAAACAGCUAAACCUGCUCUAUUCUUUUCCAGAUAAGAAUUGCCCCUCUCUCUACCUUUUCAGCUGCGAUUAGCAUAACAAUCCCCAGGGGUUUGCUCACUGAGGGAAAUACCCAGGGUUCUCUUUAAGCAGUGGUUAAUUACAUCCUGCUAUUUAUCCCAUUGAUUAGAGGUUAACUAAUUUGCACCCAGCCAACUCCGUUUUUAAUCUAAUCUAUUUCUCUUUUUCCCCAGACUCCUGGUGUCCUGUAUCCUGUCUGUCACACAGUCUUCAACCUCCCUACCAAGGAAAAAGCAGAAAAGAGACAAAGGUUGGGUAAACACUGGUCAUUCCAUAGCCCAAGCAUCUGCCGGAAGCUCCGCUGGGGAGCGGGGAAGAGAAGUGGUGCACAGGCAGAGGAAUCCCCAGCCCGCUCCGUACAUCCAUGAAGACGCAGAUGUCUCUUGGCCCCACCAUCUCCCACCAAAACGGGUGGUGCGUCCACAGCCUUUUCCCCACACUGCUGCGGGAUUAACUUUCUUAAACACAGCUCCGAUCGUACCUCUUGGUUUUAAAUGUCUGAUGACUCUAUUGCUGGCCACGUUCAAGGAGUCUACCCCGAAACAUCUGCUUCCUCUCCCAACAUCUUUGACCCUUUGUCCAGAGUCACCCUUUGCUCUGUGUCUUCCUUGGAUGUGCUCUGUAUUUUCUCACCUGAGCGCUUUGGCUCACACGUGUCCUUCUCCCGGGUCUCUCGAGACAGCCGAAGAAAGCGCGCGCCCCGCUCUGCGCAUGCGUGGACGAAUUUGCGCGCUGUGUGAUUCCCGGUCCGCUCCCACCAGGGACUCAUGGAACCCAUCGUGGGUCUGUUUGACGGUCACCCCACAUCCGAGUGAUGCAAAACGAGAAUAGUAACCCGUCUCAAGAAGAGACUUCAAACUUCCCUUUUGAGUCAACUGGAAAUUUGGACAAAACUUCUGUUGACAUUAUAUCUACCCCUUUCACUUUCGGUUCACGGAGACACACUGACAUUUCUGAAAGGAUGUGGCUCUUCCUAGUGUGGCAAACCAUACAUUCAUGCCUAUACACUUACAGGCAUGGUCUUUGUUCCUUGUCGUGAUCAAAUGCUCUGUUUUCUUGAUUCUCCAGCCAAAAGUAAUCCUCUUUUCUUUUCAACUCUUUCAGCACUCCAUUUUUUCUUGAUCCAGUUAACAAACACGCAGGCAUUGUUAUUCUACCAGGCACUGUUAUUUGCACCGGGUGGUGGUGGUCAGCAGGACCAAUUUAUUGGUCAAUAAAUUACGAUGAAAAUCCCUGA